rnacentral:rRNA from 1 species
UACGUAGGGGGCUAGCGUUGUCCGGAUUUAUUGGGCGUAAAGAGCGUGUAGGCGGCCAUGUAGGUCCGGUGUGAAAACUCGAGGCUUAACCUCGAGGUGUCAUCGGAAACCAUUUGGCUAGAGUCCGGAAGAGGAGAGUGGAAUUCCUGGUGUAGCGGUGAAAUGCGCAGAUAUCAGGAAGAACACCAAUGGCGAAAGCAGCUCUCUGGGACGGUACUGACGCUGAGACGCGAAAGCGUGGGGAGCGAACAGG